rfam:Anaerolinaceae bacterium 46_22 MPJ_scaffold_514, whole genome shotgun sequence.
CCAAAGACCUUGAUGAGGAAGAGUAGGCAGGCAGUCGGUGUCACAGCGAGCGGUAAAGGGUGAGAAACCGCACAUGCGAGCGUGUUGAAUGGGCCUCGGAGUUGUUGAAGCGAAAGGCAUCGAUUAGCUUCAAACGGACACACCGCCGUUACCAGGGUGAAAGGUAUAUGCAAUUAACUGCUGUACCCGAGUAAUGAGUGAGGCUGGCCUUUUCCUGUUGCAUCAUCAACAGGUUUUUUGUUUAAAGCCUGCCUAAUCUGGGUGGCAUCACGGACAAUAACGUUCGUCCCAUUU